rnacentral:rRNA from 1 species
UGCCUGCCCUGUGAUUUAUUUUUAACGGCCGCAGUAUCCUGACCGCGCAAAGGUAGCAUAAUCAAUUGUCCCUUAAAUUAGGACUAGUAUGAAAGGCGCCACGAGGGUUUAACUGUCUCCCCCCCUCAAUCAACGAAAUUGAUCUUCCCGUGAAGAAGCGGGAAUACUGUUAUAAGACGAGAAGACCCUAUGGAGCUUUAAACUUAUUACCAUUUAUUUUUACAAUAACAAAUUAUCAAAUAUUAAUGUUCUCCAAUAGCUUUUGGUUGGGGCGACCCUGGAGAAUAACAAAUCCUCCAGACUGAAAGGAAAAAUAACCCUUAUAUAAGAACUACAGUUCAAACAAACAAAAAUUUGACAUAACUGACCCAGAACUAACUGACCAGUGAACCAAGUUACCCUAGGGAUAACAGCGCAAUCCAUUUUAAGAGUUCAUAUCGACAAAUGGGUUUACGACCUCGAUGUUGGAUCAGGGUAUCCUAGCAGCGCAGCUGUUGCUAACGGUUCGUUUGUUCAACGAUUAAUAUCCCACGUGAUCU